AUGGCGGCAAACCGCUAUGUACAGCGUAUGUGCGGCAUCAUUAUGUACAGUGCAUGUGUGCGAUGCCGCACAUACGCUGUACAUAGUGGUUUGCCGCCGG